rnacentral:rRNA from 1 species
GGGGGAUAUUGCACAAUGGGGGGAACCCUGAUGCAGCGACGCCGCGUGAGGGAAGAAGGUUUUCGGAUUGUAAACCUCUGUCUUCGGUGACGAUAAUGACGGUAGCCGAGGAGGAAGCCAUGGCUAACUACGUGCCAGCAGCCGCGGUAAUACGUAGAUGGCAAGCGUUGUCCGGAAUUACUGGGUGUAAAGGGAGCGUAGGCGGGAUAGCAAGUUGGAUGUGAAAAACCCAGGCUCAACCUGGGAGGUGCAUUCAAAACUGCAGUUCUUGAGUGAAGUAGAGGCAGGCGGAAUUCCUGGUGUAGCGGUGAAAUGCGUAGAUAUUAGGAGGAACACCAGUGGCGAAGGCGGCCUGCUGGGCUUUUACUGACGCUGAAGCUCGAAAGCAUGGGUAGCAAAC